rnacentral:rRNA from 1 species
UGGGGAAUAUUGGACAAUGGGGGGAACCCUGAUCCAGCCAUGCCGCGUGUGUGAAGAAGGUCUUCGGAUUGUAAAGCACUUUAAGUUGGGAGGAAGGGCAGUAAGCGAAUACCUUGCUGUUUUGACGUUACCGACAGAAUAAGCACCGGCUAACUCUGUGCCAGCAGCCGCGGUAAUACAGAGGGUGCGAGCGUUAAUCGGAUUUACUGGGCGUAAAGCGUGCGUAGGCGGCUAAUUGAGUCGGAUGUGAAAUCCCCGAGCUUAACUUGGGAAUUGCAUUCGAUACUGGUUAGCUAGAGUGUGGGAGAGGAUGGUAGAAUUCCAGGUGUAGCGGUGAAAUGCGUAGAGAUCUGGAGGAAUACCGAUGGCGAAGGCAGCCAUCUGGCCUAACACUGACGCUGAGGUACGAAAGCAUGGGGAGCAAACAGG